GAUGAACGCUGGCGGCGUGCCUAAUACAUGCAAGUCGAGCGAACAGACGAGGAGCUUGCUCCUUUGACGUUAGCGGCGGACGGGUGAGUAACACGUAGGUAACCUACCUAUAAGACUUGGAUAACUUCGGGAAACCGGAGCUACUACCGGAUAAUAUUUCGAACCGCAUGGUUCGAUAGUGAAAGAUGGCUUUGCUAUCACUUAUAGAUGGACCUGCGCCGUAUUAGCUAGUUGGUAAGGUAACGGCUUACCAAGGCAACGAUACGUAGCCGACCUGAGAGGGUGAUCGGCCACACUGGAACUGAGACACGGUCCAGACUCCUACGGGAGGCAGCAGUAGGGAAUCUUCCGCAAUGGGCGAAAGCCUGACGGAGCAACGCCGCGUGAGUGAUGAAGGUCUUCGGAUCGUAAAACUCUGUUAUUAGGGAAGAACAAACGUGUAAGUAACUGUGCACGUCUUGACGGUACCUAAUCAGAAAGCCACGGCUAACUACGUG
rnacentral:rRNA from 1 species